rnacentral:lncRNA from 1 species
AUGGAGAGAAUGCUCUGGAAGCGGCAGAGGAGGGGGCGCAGGCCUCACAAGAGGGAACAGUGCGGGCAGGGGCUGGCAGUCACCAAGCCGCCACACCGUGAGAGGCCCGGCGCUGAGCGGAGGGUCCCCUCCGGGUGUGAGGGCCGGCACGUGUCUGCGGGGCCGGGACCCCCGGGGGCGACCCCAGGGCCGGCCGGUGCUGCCCUCGCGUCCGCUCUGCGGCUGCUACCGCGCACGAGGCGGAGGCCGCAGCCAGCCCGCGGCGGGCGGCGACCCGCCUCUCCGCCCCCACGCCCUCACGGGACAGGGGCGAGGGGAGCGCCGCCUCGCGGCCGGCGCGAGAACACGUCCCGGGGACGCGCGGAGGCCACGCUGCCACUUGACGGAGGGAGGGCCCGGAGCCUGCAGAGCGCUCCACAAACGACCGCGGCUCAGGAACCGAAGUGGGCGCAGACUUGGGGCGCGCGGUUCCGCUCCUGUCCCCUCGAGGGUUUGGGCUCGAAUCCUUCUCGUCCCUUCGUGUUCAGGUCCAGGCCACCCUGUUUGGCAGCGCCGGCGCUGUCCCUGGUGUCCCUCUCGCCUGCGCAGGGCUGUGGAACCCCCGAAAAUGAACAGCGGAACGGCUGGCGUGUUCAGAGGCGCGCGAUAAGGCAGAAGAGUUCGCUGGCCCCGGCCCCCGAGCAGCCUGGGCCGCGCCGAGGGCCGCCCACCGCGCUGUCGGGAGGCCGCCGGGGGAGGGGCGCAGGCCGGAGCCGCGGGGAGGGCGCGUGGCCGCAGGCAGGGUGCAGGCACGGACUGCGGGGAGGGCGCGUGGCCGUGGGGAAGGUGCAGGCGGUGGCCGCGGGGAGGGCGCGGCGGAGGGCCCGGCGCGCGGCAGGAGUGCAGCCCGGCCGCUCGGCUGCGACAGGCCUUUCGCCACGUGGAAGGAGGCGCCUGUGGAAACGGCGACGUGCCCGAGAAGGGCGGCCGGCCAGCGAUCUAGAUGUUUCCCUGCAGCAGCUGGAGGCAGUCGGCGGGCGCGGCCCCUCAGGGAGGGGUAGCCCCGCCGGGAGGAGAUCCCUCCGCAGAAGGCACCUCAGCCCGCGAGCGCCGCGACGACCCCCGCCCCGCCCGGUCCGAGGAGCGCGGGCGUCCGGGCGGAAGCCUCGCCUCUGCGCCGCCGCCCGAGUCCGCCCGGGCCUGCAGGAGGGGGGCUCUCCAGGCAGAAGGGACCCCCGACCCUCAGCUGCAGGGCGGGGGCCGUUGUCCUCGGCCACGACGCCCUUCCCUGCGCUGAGCGAGUGCGCCCCGCCCAGCAGAGGCUGA